CCCUUAGAUGUUCUGGGCCGCACGCGCGCUACACUGAUGCAUUCAACGAGUUUCUUCCUGGUCCGAGAGGAAUGGGUAACCUUUUGAAAGUGCAUCGUGAUAGGGAUAGACUAUUGCAAUUAUUGGUCUUCAACGAGGAAUUCCUAGUAGACGUAGUUCAUCAGACUGCAUCGAUUACGUCCCUGCCCUUUGUACACACCGCCCGUCGCUCCUACCGAUUGAAUGCCCAGGUGAGCCAUUCGGACUUUCAUCAUGCUGGUUUCCAGUUUUGAUGAAGGAAAGUCUUGCGAACCUUAUCAUUUAGAGGAAGGGGAAGUCGUAACA
rnacentral:rRNA from 1 species